ACGAACGCUGGCGGCGUGCUUAACACAUGCAAGUCGAGCGGAAAGGCCACUUCGGUGGUACUCGAGCGGCGAACGGGUGAGUAACACGUGAGUAAUCUGCCCCCCACUUUGGGAUAGCCACCGGAAACGGUGAUUAAUACCGGAUAUGACCCUUGACCGCAUGGUUGUGGGUGGAAAGUUUUUCGGUGGGGGAUGUGCUCGCGGCCUAUCAGCUUGAUGGUGGGGUAAUGGCCUACCAUGGCUUCGACGGGUAGCCGGCCUGAGAGGGUGACCGGCCACACUGGGACUGAGACACGGCCCAGACUCCUACGGGAGGCAGCAGUGGGGAAUAUUGGACAAUGGGCGGAAGCCUGAUCCAGCAACGCCGCGUGAGGGAUGACGGCCUUCGGGUUGUAAACCUCUUUCAGUACCGACGAAGCGAAAGUGACGGUAGGUACAGAAGAAGCACCGGCCAACUACGU
rnacentral:rRNA from 1 species